CAGCCGCCGCGGUAAUACGAAGGGGGCUAGCGUUGUUCGGAAUCACUGGGCGUAAAGAGCACGUAGGUGGAUGGUACAGUCAGACGUGAAAUUCCUGGGCUCAACCUGGGGACUGCGUUUGAGACGUGCGAUCUAGAGUUUGGAAGAGGGUCGUGGAAUUCCCAGUGUAGAGGUGAAAUUCGUAGAUAUUGGGAAGAACACCGGUGGCGAAGGCGGCGACCUGGUCCUUGACUGACGCUGAGGCGCGAAAGCGUGGGGAGCAAACAGGAUUAGAUACCCCUGUAGUCCCUGUCUCUUAUAC
rnacentral:rRNA from 1 species